GACGAACGCUGGCGGCGUGCUUAACACAUGCAAGUCGAGCGGUAAGGCCCUUUCGGGGGUACGACGAGCGGCGAACGGGUAGGAGUAACAACGUGGGUGGACCUCGCCCUCCAGCUCUGGGAGUAAGCCUCGGGAAACCGGGGUACCGUAAUACCGGACUAUGACUCCAUGACGCAUGUUGUGGGGUGGAAAGCCUUGUGCGGCUGAGGA
rnacentral:rRNA from 1 species